rnacentral:rRNA from 1 species
AUGCACGCUGGCGGCGUGCCUCAUACCUGCCAGUCGAGCGCACAGACGAGGAGCUUGCUCCUCUGACGUUAGCGGCGGACGGGUGAGUAACACGUGGAUAACCUACCUAUAAGACUGGGAUAACUUCGGGAAACCGGGGCUAAUACCGGAUAAUAUAUUGAACCGCAUGGUUCAAUAGUGAAAGACGGUUUUGCUGUCACUUAUAGAUGGAUCCGCGCCGCAUUAGCUAGUUGGUAAGGUAACGGCUUACCAAGGCGACGAUGCGUAGCCGACCUGAGAGGGUGAUCGGCCACACUGGAACUGAGACACGGUCCAGACUCCUACGGGAGGCAGCAGUAGGGAAUCUUCCGCAAUGGGCGAAAGCCUGACGGAGCAACGCCGCGUGAGUGAUGAAGGUCUUCGGAUCGUAAAACUCUGUUAUUAGGGAAGAACAAAUGUGUAAGUAACUAUGCACGUCUUGACGGUACCUAAUCAGAAAGCCACGGCUAACUACGUG